rnacentral:rRNA from 1 species
GACGAACGCUGGCGGCGUGCCUAAUACAUGCAAGUCGAGCGGAUCUUCCCUUCGGGGAAGGUUAGCGGCGGACGGGUGAGUAACACGUAGGCAACCUGCCUGCAAGACCGGGAUAACAUUCGGAAACGAAUGCUAAUACCGGAUACGCAGUUUCCUCGCAUGGGGAGACUGGGAAAGACGGCGCAAGCUGUCACUUGCAGAUGGGCCUGCGGUGCAUUAGCUAGUUGGCGAGGUAACGGCUCACCAAGGCGACGAUGCAUAGCCGACCUGAGAGGGUGAUCGGCCACACUGGGACUGAGACACGGCCCAGACUCCUACGGGAGGCAGCAGUAGGGAAUCUUCCGCAAUGGACGAAAGUCUGACGGAGCAACGCCGCGUGAGUGAUGAAGGUUCUCGGAUCGUAAAGCUCUGUUGCCAGGGAAGAACAGCCGGAAGAGUAACUGCUUUCGGAAUGACGGUACCUGAGAAGAAAGCCCCGGCUAACUACGUGCCAGCCGCCGCGGUAAUAC